rnacentral:rRNA from 1 species
GUGAACUCGAAGAGUAGGGCGGGACACGUGGUAUCCUGUCUGAAUAUGGGGGGACCAUCCUCCAAGGCUAAAUACUCCUGACUGACCGAUAGUGAACCAGUACCGUGAGGGAAAGGCGAAAAGAACCCCGGCGAGGGGAGUGAAAAAGAACCUGAAACCGUGUACGUACAAGCAGUGGGAGCACCUUCGGGUGUGACUGCGUACCUUUUGUAUAAUGGGUCAGCGACUUAUAUUCUGUAGCAAGGUUAACCGUAUAGGGGAGCCGCAGGGAAACCGAGUCUUAACUGGGCGUUAAGUUGCAGGGUAUAGACCCGAAACCCGGUGAUCUAGCCAUGGGCAGGUUGAAGGUUGGGUAACACUAACUGGAGGACCGAACCGACUAAUGUUGAAAAAUUAGCGGAUGACUUGUGGCUGGGGGUGAAAGGCCAAUCAAACCGGGAGAUAGCUGGUUCUCCCCGAAAGCUAUUUAGGUAGCGCCUCGUGAACUCAUCUUCGGGGGUAGAGCACUGUUUCGGCUAGGGGGUCAUCCCGACUUACCAACCCGAUGCAAACUACGAAUACCGAAGAAUGUUAUCACGGGAGACACACGGCGGGUGCUAACGUCCGUCGUGAAGAGGGAAACAACCCAGACCGCCAGCUAAGGUCCCAAAGUCAUGGUUAAGUGGGAAACGAUGUGGGAAGGCACAGACAGCCAGGAUGUUGGCUUAGAAGCAGCCAUCAUUUAAAGAAAGCGUAAUAGCUCACUGGUCGAGUCGGCCUGCGCGGAAGAUGUAACGGGGCUAAACCAUGCACCGAAGCUGCGGCAGCGACACUAUGUGUUGUUGGGUAGGGGAGCGUUCUGUAAGCCUGCGAAGGUGUGCUGUGAGGCAUGCUGGAGGUAUCAGAAGUGCGAAUGCUGACAUAAGUAACGAUAAAGCGGGUGAAAAGCCCGCUCGCCGGAAGACCAAGGGUUCCUGUCCAACGUUAAUCGGGGCAGGGUGAGUCGACCCCUAAGGCGAGGCCGAAAGGCGUAGUCGAUGGGAAACAGGUUAAUAUUCCUGUACUUGGUGUUACUGCGAAGGGGGGACGGAGAAGGCUAUGUUAGCCGGGCGACGGUUGUCCCGGUUUAAGCAUGUAGGCUGGUUAUCCAGGCAAAUCCGGAUAAUCAAGGCUGAGGUGUGAUGACGAGGCACUACGGUGCUGAAGUAACAAAUGCCCUGCUUCCAGGAAAAGCCUCUAAGCAUCAGGUAACAUCAAAUCGUACCCCAAACCGACACAGGUGGUCAGGUAGAGAAUACCAAGGCGCUUGAGAGAACUCGGGUGAAGGAACUAGGCAAAAUGGUGCCGUAACUUCGGGAGAAGGCACGCUGGUGUGUAGGUGAAGUCCCUGCGGAUGGAGCUGAGACCAGUCGAAGAUACCAGCUGGCUGCAACUGUUUAUUAAAAACACAGCACUGUGCAAACACGAAAGUGGACGUAUACGGUGUGACGCCUGCCCGGUGCCGGAAGGUUAAUUGAUGGGGUUAUCCGUAAGGAGAAGCUCUUGAUCGAAGCCCCGGUAAACGGCGGCCGUAACUAUAACGGUCCUAAGGUAGCGAAAUUCCUUGUCGGGUAAGUUCCGACCUGCACGAAUGGCGUAAUGAUGGCCAGGCUGUCUCCACCCGAGACUCAGUGAAAUUGAACUCGCUGUGAAGAUGCAGUGUACCCGCGGCAAGACGGAAAGACCCCGUGAACCUUUACUAUAGCUUGACACUGAACAUUGAGCCUUGAUGUGUAGGAUAGGUGGGAGGCUUUGAAGCGUGGACGCCAGUCUGCGUGGAGCCAACCUUGAAAUACCACCCUUUAAUGUUUGAUGUUCUAACGUUGGCCCCUGACCGGGGUUGCGGACAGUGUCUGGUGGGUAGUUUGACUGGGGCGGUCUCCUCCCAAAGCGUAACGGAGGAGCACGAAGGUUAGCUAAUCCUGGUCGGACAUCAGGAGGUUAGUGCAAUGGCAUAAGCUAGCUUGACUGCGAGCGUGACGGCGCGAGCAGGUGCGAAAGCAGGUCAUAGUGAUCCGGUGGUUCUGAAUGGAAGGGCCAUCGCUCAACGGAUAAAAGGUACUCCGGGGAUAACAGGCUGAUACCGCCCAAGAGUUCAUAUCGACGGCGGUGUUUGGCACCUCGAUGUCGGCUCAUCACAUCCUGGGGCUGAAGUAGGUCCCAAGGGUAUGGCUGUUCGCCAUUUAAAGUGGUACGCGAGCUGGGUUUAGAACGUCGUGAGACAGUUCGGUCCCUAUCUGCCGUGGGCGCUGGAGAAUUGAGGGGGGCUGCUCCUAGUACGAGAGGACCGGAGUGGACGCAUCACUGGUGUUCGGGUUGUCAUGCCAAUGGCACUGCCCGGUAGCUAAAUGCGGAAGAGAUAAGUGCUGAAAGCAUCUAAGCACGAAACUUGCCCCGAGAUGAGUUCUCCCUGAGACUNNNNNNNNNNNNNNNNNNNNNNNNNNGACGUUGAUAGGCCGGGUGUGUAAGCGCAGCGAUGCGUUGAGCUAACCGGUACUAAUGAACCGUGAGGCUUAACCUU